rnacentral:rRNA from 1 species
CCUACGGGUGGCAGCAGUCGAGAAUCAUUCACAAUGGGGGAAACCCUGAUGGUGCGACGCCGCGUGGGGGAAUGAAGGUCUUCGGAUUGUAAACCCCUGUCAUGUGGCAGCAAAUUAAAAAGAUAGUACCACAAGAGGAAGAGACGGCUAACUCUGUGCCAGCAGCCGCGGUAAUACAGAGGUCUCAAGCGUUGUUCGGAAUCACUGGGCGUAAGGCGUGCGUAGGCUGUUUCGUAAGUCGUGUGUGAAAGGCGCGGGCUCAACCCGCGGACGGCACAUGAUACUGCGAGACUAGAGUAAUGGAGGGGGAGCCGGAAUUCUCGGUGUAGCAGUGAAAUGCGUAGAUAUCGAGAGGAACACUCGUGGCGAAGGCGGGUUCCUGGACAUUAACUGACGCUGAGGCACGAAGGCCAGGGGAGCGAAAGGGAUUAGAUACCCUGGUAGUC